rnacentral:rRNA from 1 species
UACGUAGGUGGCAAGCGUUGUCCGGAAUCAUUGGGCGUAAAGCGCGUGUAGGCGGCCCGGUAAGUCCGCUGUGAAAGUCGGGGGCUCAACCCUCGAAAGCCGGUGGAUACUGUCGGGCUCGAGUACGGGAGAGGCGAGUGGAAUUCCUGGUGUAGCGGUGAAAUGCGCAGAUAUCAGGAGGAACACCGGUGGCGAAGGCGGGUCUCUGGGCCGAUACUGACACUGAGAAGCGAAAGCGUGGGGAGCGAACAGG